rnacentral:rRNA from 1 species
GCUUGCAAGCUAUCGCUUGAGGAGGAGCCCGUAUCCCAUUAGGUAGUUGGUAAGGUAACGGCUUACCAAGCCUACGAUGGGUAGCCGGCCUGAGAGGGUGACCGGCCACACUGGCACUGACACACGGGCCAGACUCCUACGGGAGGCAGCAGUGAGGAAUUUUGGGCAAUGGGGGAAACCCUGACCCAGCGACGCCGCGUGGGCGAUGAAGGUCUUCGGAUCGUAAAGCCCUGUGAGUGGGGAAGAAGGGAUUGGUUGCUAAUAUCAACCAGUUUUGACAGUACCCACAGAGGAAGCCCCGGCUAACUACGUGCCAGCAGCCGCGGUAAAACGUAGGGGGCUAGCGUUGUUCGGAAUUACUGGGCGUAAAGCGCGUGUAGGCGGUUUUGUAAGUCGGAAGUGAAAUUCCUCGGCUCAACCGAGGAACUGCUUUCGAAACUACUGAACUUGAGUAUGGGCGGGGAGAGCGGAAUUCCCGGUGUAGCGGUGAAAUGCGUAGAUAUCGGGAAGAACACCAGUGGCGAAGGCGGCUCUCUGGACCAUUACUGACGCUGAGACGCGAAAGCGUGGGUAGCAAACAGGAUUAGAUACCCUGGUAGUCCACGCCCUAAACGAUGGAUACUUGGCGUGGGGAGUCAUUAAUCUCCGCUUGUCGG